UCCAAGGUAGCUCAACGGUAGAGCACUCGGCUGUUAACCGAUAGGUUGUGGGUUCGAGCCCCACCCUUGGAGCCA
rnacentral:tRNA from 2 species